GGGCUCAUAACCCGAAGGUCGUCGGUUCAAAUCCGGCCCCCGCAACCA
rnacentral:tRNA from 1 species